GAUGAACGCUGGCGGCGUGCUUAACACAUGCAAGUCGAACGGUGAACGAGGGAGCUUGCUCCCUCCGGAUCAGUGGCGAACGGGUGAGUAACACGUGAGCAAUCUGCCCUGGACUCUGGGAUAAGCGUUGGAAACGACGUCUAAUACCGGAUACGAGGCGUGGGGGCAUCCCCAACGCCUGGAAAGAACUUCGGUCCAGGAUGAGCUCGCGGCCUAUCAGCUAGUUGGUGAGGUAACGGCUCACCAAGGCGACGACGGGUAGCCGGCCUGUGAGGGUGACCGGCCACACUGGGACUGAGACACGGCCCAGACGCCUACGGGAGGCAGCAGUGGGGAAUAUUGCACAAUGGGCGCAAGCCUGAUGCAGCAACGCCGCGUGAGGGACGACGGCCUUCGGGUUGUAAACCUCUUUUAGCAGGGAAGAAGCGAAAGUGACGGUACCUGCAGAAAAAGCACCGGCUAACUACGUGCCAGCCGCCGCCGUAAGAC
rnacentral:rRNA from 1 species